UACGGAGGGUGCGAGCGUUAUCCGGAUUUACUGGGUUUAAAGGGUGUGUAGGCGGGUUUGUAAGUCAGAGGUGAAAUCCCGGAGCUCAACUCCGGAACUGCCUUUGAUACUAUAGAUCUUGAAUAUUGUUGAGGUGGGCGGAAUGUGUCAUGUAGCGGUGAAAUGCAUAGAUAUGACACAGAACACCGAUUGCGAAGGCAGCUCACUGGGCAAUGAUUGACGCUGAGGCACGAAAGCGUGGGGAUCAAACAGG
rnacentral:rRNA from 1 species